AUGACUAUGUUAACAAUCCACGAACCAUAAAUUCGGGUAAGGAAUUCUGUUAACCCGGGAGAAGGCGUUAGGCAUUCUCGGAUUCCUUUGUUCUAGUAGGGUCAUUCAACUGUCAUAUUCGGCUUAUUCGUCUGCUUUUAAUACAUUUUGAACCUAUGUGCAAAUUCUAACUUUUAGCCGCUUUUAUUCAAUUUUUUUAAAAGAAAGGUGGAAGUCGUUUAAAACGUGUCUUUGGAUCGUAUCACAUGGAAUGCGCCCGCAAUCUUGAACAUAUUUUAUUCAACGUUUUGGGAUUUGAUUUUGGUUACA
rnacentral:lncRNA from 1 species